GACGAACGCUGGCGGCGUGCUUAACACAUGCAAGUCGAGCGGAGCGGCGAACGGGUGAGUAAAGCGUGAGUAACUGCCCCACUCUCUGGGAUAACAGUUGGAAACGGCUGCUAAUACCGGAAAGUGGGGGAUGACUCGCGUCCUAUCAGCGUGUUGGUGGGGUAGUGGCCUACCAAGGCGACGCCGGGUAGCCGGCCUGAGAGGGCGACCGGCCACAUUGGGCUGAGAUGCGGCCCGAACUCCUACGGGGGGCAGCAGUGGGGAAUAUUGCACAAUGGGUGAAGCCCUGAUGCAGCAACGCCGCGUGCGAGAUGACGGCCUUCGGGUUGUAAACCUCUUUCAGCCAUGACGCGUUAGUGGCAGAAGAAGCACCGGCUAACUACGUGCCAGCCGCCGCGGUAAUUC
rnacentral:rRNA from 1 species